AACGAACGCUGGCGGCAGGCCUAACACAUGCAAGUCGAGCGAAGCCUUCGGGCUUAGUGGCGGACGGGUGAGUAACGCGUGGGAACGUGCCCUUUGGUUCGGAAUAGCCUCGGGAAACUGGGAGUAAUACCGGAUGAGCUCUUCGGAGGAAAGAUUUAUCGCCAAAGGAUCGGCCCGCGUUGGGUUAGGUAGUUGGUGGGGUAAUGGCCUACCAAGCCGACGAUCCAUAGCUGGUUUGAGAGGAUGAUCAGCCACACUGGGACUGAGACACGGCCCAGACUCCUACGGGAGGCAGCAGUGGGGAAUCUUAGACAAUGGGCGCAAGCCUGAUCUAGCCAUGCCGCGUGAGCGAUGAAGGCCGUAGGGUUGUAAAGCUCUUUCAGUGGGGAAGAUAAUGACGGUACCCACAGAAGAAGCCCCGGCUAACUCCGUGCCAGCCGCCGCGGUAACAC
rnacentral:rRNA from 1 species